CAGUAGCCGCGGGAAUACGAAGGGGGCUAGCGUUGUUCGGAAUUACUGGGCGUAAAGCGCACGUAGGCGGAUAUUUAAGUCAGGGGUGAAAUCCCAGAGCUCAACUCUGGAACUGCCUUUGAUACUGGGUAUCUUGAGUAUGGAAGAGGUGAGUGGAAUUCCGAGUGUAGAGGUGAAAUUCGUAGAUAUUCGGAGGAACGCCAGUGGCGAAGGCGGCUCACUGGUCCAUUACUGACGCUGAGGUGCGAAAGCGUGGGGAGCAAACGGGAUUAGAUACCCCCGUAGUCCCUGUCUCUUAUAC
rnacentral:rRNA from 1 species